GACCUGAUCUGCAGCUUCUGUCAGGCAGUAUUACCUAACGGAGUACAGGUUUCAGACUCACCUGGCUGCCUGACACUGCCAGGUUUCCCUUUAGAUGUAUUCAUUGGGUCUGACUCUGGUGUUACUGCUAGACUUGUCUUACCGUUUCAAGUAAGGGUUAGCCCUUCCUUGGAAGGGAAAGACACAGGCUAUAUGUCAGAAAGAGACAGCUUAAGGCAGCCAGAUAACGUGACCAGCCUGCUGCCCUGCAGGCAGUUCUGUGGGCCCUGCUGAUAACAAGGCAGCUGCACUGAGGAUGAGAAGGUGUGGAUGUCUGCAGGGGAGCAUAGCUCCUGGGGCAGCCCCAUGCCACUCCAGAUUAAAGAAAUAUGGCUUAAAGGAAACCACUUCGAAACUUAUGAACCUUUACAAGACCGUCUUACUGAUGAUGGUGUCUAUCUGCAGUAGAUUUCUUUUCUUGUCACUCCAUGGCAUGAAGCUUCUGAUGUGCUUAUGAUCUCACUCUCAUCAGAACCACUGGCUUGGCUUGGAAGCCCGCAAGGACACUCCUUGGCUCUGUGCCACAAACAACAAUGCUAUCAAUCUUGUUCCAGACCUGUCUGGGUGAUACUUAUCGAAUAGUUCUUUGAAGAGUUCUUGCCUGUUCUAGAACAUGCAUCCACACCCCUGUGUGAGGCACCAGGACUGAGUACGGCUGGACCCACAUUGCUGCUGGUCCCCUUAAGUUUAUUCAACUCUGUUUCAGAGACUGAUUUUAAACCCCCCGGGAUUGGCAUAAGCUUUUUCACCUAGGGGUUAUAUAGACCUACAAGGCUGUGCUGGUGCCAUUUUGCCAGAACUCAUGCUUGUUAAACAUUUUCCUGUAGAUCAAAUUCAAAGGGAUUCAAGAGUGCCAUUCAACCUUGCAGUAAUGGGCAAAGAAUAGGGAAAAAAAGAGAGACUGAAUGGAGGAUCUGAGUCUAAGGAGGAAACCGCUCAGUACAGGUCAAACAGAGAAUUGCUGCAUGUCCUGCAAAUAUUUGCUGUGAUGGUACAUGGGGGAGAUAUGAAAACAAUCUGAAAAUCUGAGGGAUUGCCAUCUUCAGAAGAAGGGGAAUCAGAGUGCAGGGUAAUUUUCACAGGAGGAAUGGAUCGGUUUUGUUCAAUAUGACUUUGAGGUCUGCUGCCUCUGAAACAGCUUCAGCCUGUGUGAGUCUUGGGUGGCAGCAGCAGCAGGGAGCUGCUCAGCUUCAGGAACGGCUGGGGCUGUUGUGUGACCCGAUGAAGAGGGUGAACGUAUUUAGUUCCCUGUGUGGCAGAAUGCCAUGUACUAAUGGAGAUAGAAGAUAGGUAUGUGGGAGGGAGCUCUGACUCAGUUAAUACACCGAAAUGUGAAGAAAUGGGAUUUGGGGUCAAAGUACAUCUCUUGCAAAUGGCUUGAUGCAGUCAGCGUGACAUGUAUUGCUGAACCUUUGUUCUCUGAUGUCACAAGUAUCAGAGUUUCCACGGUUUUCUAUUGGCUGCUGCUCCUGCUUUUGAAAUUUACUGCUUUGGACAUUCAGAGAUGUUUUUUUUUUUUCAGCGUGCAAGUGGGUUAGCUGCAGGAGGGGAGUGUUGAUAGCACACAGCUGACCACACUUUGCUAAGAGCUUUAGAGCACUUGCAUUUAAGCUCUUGGCUACAGUGAUAGUUGGAAGAAAAAGGAUAAAAAUGGACAGCUCUCAUCUGUGAUUUUCUUUUUCUUCUAUUUUCCUCCCAUUUACUCCUUUUCUCUGUUAUAUAAAGUAGAACACCGACAUUUUCCCUUUAAAUUUAGACAGCAG
ensembl:lncRNA